CAUGUAGGGGGCAAGCGUUGUCCGGAUUUAUUGGGCGUAAAGAGCUCGUAGGCGGCUCAGUAAGUCAGGUGUGAAACCUCCAGGCUCAACCUGGAGACGCCACCUGAUACUGCUGUGGCUAGAGUCCGGUAGGGGAGCGUGGAAUUCCUGGUGUAGCGGUGAAAUGCGCAGAUAUCAGGAGGAACACCAGCGGCGAAGGCGGCGCUCUGGGCCGGAACUGACGCUGAGGAGCGAAAGCGUGGGGAGCGAACAGG
rnacentral:rRNA from 1 species